rnacentral:lncRNA from 1 species
GAGUAGCUGGGAUUACAGACGCGCGCCACCCCACCCAGAUGAUCUUUUUAAAUGCAAAAUGCCAUCGACGCAGAAAAUCAAAGACAAAAUCUUGCUCUGUCUCCCAGGCUGGAGAGCAGUGGCACCAUCUUGGCUCACUGCAACCUCCACCUCUUGGUUCCAGCAAUCCUUCUACCCCAGCCUCCAGAGUAGGCGGGAUUACAGACAACUGCUCCGGCUUUUCCUUCCACUAUGAUUGGAAGCUUCCUGAGGCCUCCCCAGAAGUAGAAGCCACUACGCUUCCUGUACAGCCUGCAGAACCAUGAGCCAACUAAACCUCUUCUCUUUAUAAAUAUCCCAGUCUUAGGUAUUUCUUUAUAGCAAUGCAAGAACGAACUAAUACAGAAUGUGUUUUCAAGAAAUUUGUCUGUUUCAUCUGAAUUUUCAAUUGGAUUGACUAUGAUAUUUCUCUUUUUUUGUUUGUUCAUUUUUGAUGAGGGGAUCUUACUAUGUUGCUCAGGCUGGUUAAAAACUCCUAGACUCAACCAAUCCUCCCAUUUCAGCUUCCCAAUAGGUGGUAGGAUUUCUAGUUAUCUUGAUUUGUUGAGUCUUUUAUGAAAUAUUCUUUUUGUUUUUAGUAGUAUUAUCGAAACAAAUUUGACUUUGUCUGCUAUUAGAGAAGUCAUAUCAGCUGUCUCUGGUUAGUGUUUUUAUGAUAAACUUUUUUCCAUCCUUUUUCUUUCACCUCUGUGCCAUUUUUAUGGCAUAUCUCUUUAAACAGCAUAUGAUUGGGUUUUUGAUUUUGUAACCAGUCUGACAAUCUUGGUCUUGGUAUACUUACUCAAUAUAUUCGAAGUUAAAACUACCACAUUACAUUUAUUUUAUAUUUGUUCUAUUUGUCCUAUUUCAUUUUCUUCUUUCCCACUUUAACAAAUUAUUUUUAUCUUUCAAUGCCCCCCUCCAGUAGCUUGUUAUUAUAGUUUUUAAAAUUAAACUUUUACUCUUAAUUGCAUAUUGUCAUACAGUUGUAAGAAGCAUUACAGAGAGACACUGUGUCUUUACCCCAUUUUCUCCAAUGACAAUAUUUUGCAAAACUGUAGUACAGUAUCAUAACCAGGAAUUGACAUUGAUACAGUCAAGAUACAGAACAUUUCCAUCACCACAAGGAUCCCUCAAAUUGCCCUUUUAUUGCCUCACCCACUCCCUCCCGUCCCCACUGCCUUCUGAACACCUGGCAACCACUAAGCUGUUCUUUAUUUCUAUAAUUUUGUCAUUUCAAGACAAAAUAUACAAAAAGGCAUGGGCUUAUAUAGUAUGUAACCUUUGGAAUUUUUUUUCUUUUUUGAGACGGAGUCUCGCUCUGUCGCCAGGCUCGAGUGCAGUGGUGCGAUCUCAGGUCACUGCAGUCUCCACCUCCCGUGUUGAAGCAAUUAUCCUGCCUCAGCCUCCAGAGUAGCUGGGACUACAGAUGUGCACCACCACACCCAGCUAAUUUUUGUAUUUUUAGUAG